rnacentral:rRNA from 1 species
CUUCGCAAUGGGGGAAACCCCGACGAGGGAACUCCAAGUGCCAGCACUUUGUGUUGGCUGUUUAUAUCCCUAAAAAGGAUGUAGAGUAAGGGCUGGGUAAGACGGGUGCCAGCCGCCGCGGUAAUACCCGCAGCCCGAGUGGUGGUCACUUUUAUUGGGCCUAAAACGUUCGUAGCCUGUUUGGUAAAUCUUUGGGUAAAUCGGGUGGCUUAACCAUCCGAAUUCCAAAGAGACUGCCAGACUAGGGACCUGGGUGAGGUCAGAGGUACUUUUGGGGUAGGGGUGAAAUCCUUUAAUCCUAAAAGGACCACCAGUGGCGAAGGCGUCAGACUAACACAGCUCCGACGGUGAGGAACGAAACCCUGGGGCGCAAACGGGAUUAGAUACCCCGGUAGUCCAGGGCGUAAACGCUGUGGGCUUGGUGUUGGAUGUCCUAUGGGGGCAUUCAGUGCCGGAGAGAAGUUGUUAAGCCUACUGCCUGGGGAAUACGGUCCGCAAGGCUGAAACUUAA